rnacentral:rRNA from 1 species
UACGUAGGGUGCAAGCGUUGUCCGGAAUUAUUGGGCGUAAAGAGCUCGUAGGCGGCUUGUCACGUCGAUUGUGAAAACCCGGGGCUCAACUCCGGGCCUGCAGUCGAUACGGGCAGGCUGGAGUUCGGUAGGGGAGACUGGAAUUCCUGGUGUAGCGGUGAAAUGCGCAGAUAUCAGGAGGAACACCGGUGGCGAAGGCGGGUCUCUGGGCCGAUACUGACGCUGAGGAGCGAAAGCGUGGGGAGCGAACAGG